UACGGAGGGGGCAAGCGUUGUUCGGAAUCAUUGGGCGUAAAGGGCGCGUAGGCGGCCGAUCAAGUCGGGUGUGAAAUCCCUCGGCUCAACCGAGGAACUGCACUCGAUACUGUUCGGCUAGAGUCCGGGAGGGGAUGGUGGAAUUCCCAGUGUAGCGGUGAAAUGCGUAGAUAUUGGGAAGAACACCGGUGGCGAAGGCGGCCAUCUGGACCGGCACUGACGCUGAGGCGCGAAAGCCAGGGGAGCGAAU
rnacentral:rRNA from 1 species